rnacentral:tRNA from 3 species
UUUUAAUAGCUUAUGGAGAGAGCAUGAUAUUGAAGAUAUCAAGGUAGUUUUUAACUUUAGAAUAU